rnacentral:rRNA from 1 species
UUUUAUUUGAGAGUUUGAUCCUGGCUCAGGAUGAACGCUGGCGGCGUGCCUAACACAUGCAAGUUGAGCGAUUUACUUCGGUAAAGAGCGGCGGACGGGUGAGUAACGCGUGGGUAACCUACCCUGUACACACGGAUAACAUACCGAAAGGUAUGCUAAUACGGGAUAAUAUAUUUGAGAGGCAUCUCUUAAAUAUCAAAGGUGAGCCAGUACAGGAUGGACCCGCGUCUGAUUAGCUAGUUGGUAAGGUAACGGCUUACCAAGGCGACGAUCAGUAGCCGACCUGAGAGGGUGAUCGGCCACAUUGGAACUGAGACACGGUCCAAACUCCUAC